rnacentral:rRNA from 1 species
UACGAAAGGGGCUAGCGUUGUUUGGAAUUACUGGGCGUAAAGCGCACGUAGGCGGCCUUGUAAGUUGGGGGUGAAAUCCCGAGGCUCAACUCCGGAACUGCCUUCAAGACUGCAAAGCUAGAGGACGCGAGAGGUUAGCGGAAUUCCGAGUGUAGAGGUGAAAUUCGUAGAUAUUCGGAAGAACACCAGUGGCGAAGGCGGCUAACUGGCGCGUUUCUGACGCUGAGGUGCGAAAGCGUGGGGAGCAAACAGG